rnacentral:rRNA from 1 species
GACGAACGCUGGCGGCGUGCCUAAUACAUGCAAGUUGAGCGAUGAAGAUUGGUGCUUGCACCAAUUUGAAGAGCAGCGAACGGGUGAGUAACGCGUGGGGAAUCUGCCUUUGAGCGGGGGACAACAUUUGGAAACGAAUGCUAAUACCGCAUAACAACUUUAAACAUAAGUUUUAAGUUUGAAAGAUGCAAUUGCAUCACUCAAAGAUGAUCCCGCGUUGUAUUAGCUAGUUGGUGAGGUAAAGGCUCACCAAGGCGAUGAUACAUAGCCGACCUGAGAGGGUGAUCGGCCACAUUGGGACUGAGACACGGCCCAAACUCCUACGGGAGGCAGCAGUAGGGAAUCUUCGGCGAUAGACGAAAGUCUGACCGAGCAACGCCGCGUGAGUGAAGAAGGUUUUCGGAUCGUAAAACUCUGUUGGUAGAGAAGAACGUUGGUGAGAGUGGAAAGCUCAUCAAGUGACGGUAACUACCCAGAAAGGGACGGCUAACUACGUG